CUGGAGUGCAUUAUGGGCAGAGGAGAAAGCCGAGAGCAGGAAAAUGUGAGUUGGCCCCAGCAGCUCCUGUCUGCAGGGGGGCAGCAGGGGCUCCGCACUCUUCAAGGGAUGGGCCAGCCACUGCCUCCACUUCCCCAGUCCCUAGAAGGGGCAGAUCAGAGAUGUGCUCAGCAGAGGGUGGCCAGGGGAGGGCAGGGCCCAGGCCUCCAACACCCCUGCAGAGCCCAGUUUGAACCUGCCCAUUUCACAGAGGAGAAGACUGAGGCCCAGAGAGAGGUAGUAACUUCUCCAGGGUCACACAGCAAACCUUCCACAGGGUAUCCAGGUGGAGGUGCCCAUGAGAUGCAUGGAGGUGCCCUGGAGAAGGUGGAGAGAGAGGAAGCUGGCACAGCCUGCAAAGAGGCCAGGGCCUCUGAAGCCCCACAGGAGAGUCUUAGACGAGGCACGGCCAACAGUGCCAAUGGCUAGAGAUGAAACAGGAAAUAUUGCCUGCUUGGUGCUGCAAGUGCUGAGGAUGCUGCGAGAGGCAGAGAGAAGUCCCUGCUGUCACAGAGCUUAAGUUCCGGGAAGAGACACAGAUAUAGAGCGGUGAACAAAUAAAGACUAAAAAUUAAAAUCA
rnacentral:lncRNA from 13 species